rnacentral:sRNA from 1 species
AAUGGAAAGUGAAAACCCCUGUUCCGCUUAAAUUGGGUUCCUUCCUGUCCUGAGAAACAUAGAGACCCCCAAAAGGGAAGCAGAGGAGAGAAAGUCCCAUACCCAGACCCCGCGAGAAGAGAUGACCAUGACCACCAUGCCAGAAAGUCUCAACAGCCCCGUGUCGGGCAAGGCGGUGUUUAUGGAGUUUGGGCCGCCCAACCAGCAAAUGUCUCCUUCUCCCAUGUCCCACGGGCACUACUCCAUGCACUGUUUACACUCGGCGGGCCAUUCGCAGCCCGACGGCGCCUACAGCUCAGCCUCGUCCUUCUCCCGACCGCUGGGCUACCCCUACGUCAACUCGGUCAGCAGCCACGCAUCCAGCCCCUACAUCAGUUCGGUGCAGUCCUACCCGGGCAGCGCCAGCCUCGCCCAGAGCCGCCUGGAGGACCCAGGGGCGGACUCGGAGAAGAGCACGGUGGUGGAAGGCGGUGAAGUGCGCUUCAAUGGCAAGGGAAAAAAGAUCCGUAAACCCAGGACGAUUUAUUCCAGUUUGCAGUUGCAGGCUUUGAACCGGAGGUUCCAGCAAACUCAGUACCUAGCUCUGCCGGAGAGGGCGGAGCUCGCGGCCUCUUUGGGACUCACACAGACUCAGGUACCUCGCCGCUGCCGCUCCGUUCCGCCACGCAGGCUUUCCGCGGCCGGCCUGCGCCCGGGUCUUCAUUUGUUGCUCGCUGGGACUCAGGGUCGGGGUGUCACUGUGUGUAUGUGUUUGUGUCCACCCCUGGCUCUCAGCGUGUCUCCUUCCUCCCUCAUUCCCUCUGCCCUAGCUCUGUCACUGCUCUCGGUAUCCCGAGCUGCCUGCCGCCCGGCCCUCUGUCCCUGGACAAUCUGAUUAGGGCGCAGGAAGGAUUUCCCCAGACGUUUUGUUUGGGAACUC